UUGAGGUGACAGAUCUGAUGACACGCGCACGCCAUGCACGAUGCACCUCAGUCAAAGCAUCACACACGUGGUAAUCACAAUGGAAGGCUGAGAUUAAAACAUUUCAAAUUGAUCAAAAGGUUGAGAGAGGGCCAACGCACUACCGGAGCCCUAGCUCCGGUCUUGUUCUCCGGUGGACCUCACCGGACUGGUCCACCACCAACCUUCACCAAAAUAAAAAGUGU
rnacentral:lncRNA from 1 species